UCAGGGAGUACAAGCUCAAACUGUUGCCAACUUUUACCUGGCUUUUGAGGCAGAGUUAGCUAUCAUACCAGUCAUUAACAAGAUAGAUCUUAAACAGGCAGAUGUAGAGUCCACGGAAGAACAGAUGAGACGACUCUUUGAUUUCAAAGACAAGGAUUUAUUUAAGAUAUCAGCCAAACUAGGGAUAAAUUGUAAAGAAAUUCUGGAUGCAGUGAUCCAGAGAAUACCACCGUAAGUAGACU